ensembl:lncRNA
CAGAGAGGUUAAAACAGUGAUCGUCUGACAGUACAUGGAGUGAGAAGGACCCUGACUAAAGGAAAUCCCUCACACCAUAUCAAAGCACUGGCCUAUUGUACAGUAGCUAGUAGCAACAGUAGCACAGAGUAUCAUACGUCUCCUCAGUAAGACGACUGCCUCAUACCCAGAGUCACAUGCUGCUCACAGACAGAAGCUUCAUUUCCUAGUUAUAUGAGAUCAGACAAAUUCAGAAGAACACAGGCCCUAUAGUCAAAACUAGUACACUAUAACACCGAGCUGCACCACCCAGGUAAACUAGUACACUAUAACUCCGAGCUGCACCACCCAGGUAAACUAGUACACUAUAACACCGAGCUGCACCACCCAGGUAAACUAGUACACUAUAACACCAUGCUGCACCACCC